rnacentral:rRNA from 1 species
GACGAACGCUGGCGGCGUGCUUAACACAUGCAAGUCGAACGAAGAGCGAUGGAAGCUUGCUUCUAUCAAUCUUAGUGGCGAACGGGUGAGUAACGCGUAAUCAACCUGCCCUUCAGAGGGGGACAACAGUUGGAAACGACUGCUCAUACCGCAUACGAUCCAAUCUCGGCAUCGAGACUGGAUGAAAGGUGGCCUCUAUUUAUAAGCUAUCACUGAAGGAGGGGAUUGCGUCUGAUUAGCUAGUUGGAGGGGUAACGGCCCACCAAGGCGAUGAUCAGUAGCCGGUCUGAGAGGAUGAACGGCCACAUUGGGACUGAGACACGGCCCAGACUCCUACGGGAGGCAGCAGUGGGGAAUCUUCCGCAAUGGACGAAAGUCUGACGGAGCAACGCCGCGUGAGUGAUGACCGGCUUCGGGUUGUAAAGCUCUGUUAAUCGGGACGAAUGGUUCUUGUGCGAAUAGUGCGAGGAUUUGACGUACCGGA